AGCCGGACUUCGACCCCAAGAAGGUCUUCACAAUGCUGAAGGAGCUCAAGUACCUGAACGGCGCCGACGAGGAGGGCCGCGGUGAGUCACGGCUUCUAGUUGUCAGGUGUGCUUCGGCAUCCUCGCGGCUUGUUGUGUUGCCAAAUGCAUUCAGUUCUUUGGAGUAUUGUUCAUCAGACCGGUGGCCUUAAGUUCACGCCGUGACAAUGCUGGUCUACAGAGCGCGACGGUGACGAGGAGGAGGAGGACUUCGAGGAGGAGGCCGGCGAGGAGGAGUACGAGGAGGGCGGCGGCGAGGGCGAGGUGAGCGUGUCACGGACCUUGCCUGUCCGGGACUCCUUUCAGCCGCUGCACUGGCGGGGAUGCACAUGCUCGCCUGAAAGGAGGCUAGGAUCAAAUGCAACGGCAGCGCGCAGUGAAGACACCAGGGGCCUCUCAUGACACCCCGUCUGACUGCGUCCUGCCCCUCGUGCAGGAGGAGUUUGAGGACGAGGAGGGCGCCGAGUUCGAGGAGAAGGAGUACGCCGUGCUGGUCGGCACCGACGCGGUAGGGGAGGACGAGGAGGGCGACUACCAGGAUGAGGGCGAGGGCGAGGACGACGAGGAGGAGGAGGGCGAGGAUGAGGAGGAUGAGGGCGCGGAGGGCGCCGAGCCCGCUGCCGGCGGCACCAAGCGGAAGCGCGAUGACGAGGGUGAGGAGGGCGACGAG
rnacentral:lncRNA from 1 species